rnacentral:rRNA from 1 species
AUGAGAGAUUUUGGUACCACUUGGUGUGAGUGGAUUAAAAGUAUCUUGGUUGAUGGUACAGUCAGUAUUAAGCUGAAUAAUACCAUGGGGCCGUACUUCAAGAGUUUUAAGGGGGUUAGGCAGGGCGAUCCUGUGUCACCAUUCCUCUUUAAUAUAGUGGUUGAAUUCUUAUGCAAAAUGGUUUUGCAAGCUCAGAAAAAUAAUUUGAUUACUGGACUGGCCCCGGACCUUAUUGAUAAUGGAGUGUCCACUCAGCAAUAUGCAGAUGACACAGUCCUGUGUAUUUGA